AACAUCGCCUCUUGCCCAAUUAUAAGAGGUCCAGCCUGCCCAGUGACAUAGUUUAACGGCCGCGGUACCCUAACCGUGCAAAGGUAGCAUAAUCACUUGUUCUCUAAAUAGGGACUCGUAUCAAUGGCAUCACGAGGGCUGUACUGUCUCCUUUCUCCAAUCAGUGAAACUGAUCUCCCCGUGAAGAAGCGGGGAUUGACCUAUAAGACGAGAAGACCCCAUGGAGCUUUAAACCCAAUACACACCCCCUACGCACUCAAAUCAACAUAGCCCAAGAAAAUUGUGUAUCGGUUUUAGGUUGGGGGGACCGCGGAGUAAAAUCAAACCUCCACGACAGACGGAUUAAUACCCUUAUCCACGAACUACAAUUCUAAGAACCAAUAAAUUGUUGUCUAAUGACCCAAUUACUUGAUCAACGAACCAAGUUACCCUGGGGAUAACAGCGCAAUCUACUUCAAGAGCCCCUAUCGACAAGUAGGUUUACGACCUCGAUGUUGGAUCAGGGUAUCCUAGUGGUGCAGCCGCUACUAAAGGUUCGUUUGUUCAACGAUUAAAACCCUACGUGAUCUA
rnacentral:rRNA from 1 species